GCCACAUCACGUUUAAACACCGCUUCCCGUAAGAUCACCAAAGUUAAGCAACGUCGAGCCUGGUCAGUACCUAAAUGGGUAACCGCUGGGGAAUACUCGGUGCUGUAAG